rnacentral:rRNA from 1 species
UACAGAGGGUGCGAGCGUUAAUCGGAAUUACUGGGCGUAAAGCGUGCGCAGGCGGUUCUAUAAGACAGAUGUGAAAUCCCCGGGCUCAACCUGGGAACUGCAUUUGUGACUGUAGAGCUGGAGUGCGGCAGAGGGGGAUGGAAUUCCGCGUGUAGCAGUGAAAUGCGUAGAUAUGCGGAGGAACACCGAUGGCGAAGGCAAUCCCCUGGGCCUGCACUGACGCUCAUGCACGAAAGCGUGGGGAGCAAACAGG